rnacentral:rRNA from 1 species
CCUACGGGAGGCAGCAGUGGGGAAUAUUGCACAAUGGGGGAAACCCUGAUGCAGCGACGCCGCGUGAGUGAAGAAGUAUUUCGGUAUGUAAAGUUCUAUCAGCAGGGAAGAAAAUGACGGUACCUGACUAAGAAGCCCCGGCUAACUACGUGCCAGCAGCCGCGGUAAUACGUAGGGGGCAAGCGUUAUCCGGAUUUACUGGGUGUAAAGGGAGCGUAGACGGCAGGGCAAGUCUGGGGUGAAAUCCCAGGGCUCAACCCCGGGACUGCUUUGGAAACUGUCAGGCUGGAGUGUAGGAGAGGCAAGUGGAAUUCCUAGUGUAGCGGUGAAAGGCGUAGAUAUUAGGAGGAACACCAGUGGCGAAGGCGGCUUGCUGGACGAUGACUGACGUUGAGGCUCGAAAGCGUGGGGAGCAAACAGGAUUAGAUACCCGUGUAGUC